AAGACAAAUUGUGCAUUUUCGAUCAAUUAGGUCGAAGGAAAUUAUACGUUAAGGGGUUAACCGGGUAUUUAAAGAAUUAAUAAGCUGAUUAAUCACGCACUAUACUCUGAAGAAUUCUCUAAGAAUAGGCAUUCUCUUCGAUACAGACGACUAUUUGUGUAGAAACGAGGCAAAAAUUUGGACGAGUGAAAACAUUGAAAGAGAGAUGUUACAAGAAAUGCGUCUAUAUAUACGAAUUACAGGGGUGAGAUGAGUGAGCGAGCAAGAGAGAGAGAGAGAGAGAGAGAGAAAGAACUUUGUCUGACAUUCGGACAAUGCCGGCGUGGUGCUGUCGCGUUCGGUUCCUGGUUAUGGCGGGUGCACAAUGCCUAUUGUUGAGCAACCCACCAUACAAAUGUGUGUGCCAACGCUUCCACACAACGGACUGCUCCAGGUUCCUCAUUUCGUCUCUCUGUUUCUCCUUAACGGCACACGCACGUAGCUUUUCCCUUAUAUUCUCUAUGCACCACACCAGGUUUGCGUAACUCGUGGCUUUUGGCAAGGGCAAUAAGAUCCAACGAAACGCCGCGAAAAGAGACCGAUAUUGAUUUCUUUUUUUUUUCUUUUUUGAACGGCCUGAAGGAAAGUCGCUAGGAAAUGAGCCUCACGGAUGAAACGGCAUGCUAGAAUGCGUUGAAUCUUGGAUACGGUACAACGUAAACAUGGAUUCCAUCUUCUCUGCUCGAUCAAGAAAACCUUUUUGACACCUCAAAGAAAGAUUUUAAUGCAUUUUCCGUCGAUGAAUACGCGAGCCGGAUAUUUCGUUGCUGCGACGGCUUCAAUGUAUUCCGUGUGUUUGGCUAUGCAGCGAAAAUGAAACGUAUAAUUAACGAAGCAGGAUAAUAAUUUUGUCCUGAAUUUUCGAUAUAUAUCGUGUAUAGACGGUAUAAAGGGUAAAAGUAACAAUAGCAGAUUACAAUACCGCGAUUGAAGUGGACUUGUAAUCAUAAUGUAUAUAUCCAUUUAAUAAUAAUAUAUGUGAAAGUAAAAUAAUAUAAAUUUGCGAAUAAUUUUUGCCAAUUAGUUAUUACCUAUAUUUAUUAUAAAUAACUGAUAUAUCUCUCCUACAUAUUAUUCGUUAACUAAGAUGAAUACAGAUAUAUGAAUUCUUUAAAUAGAUGGAGACUAUAAAUACAUAAUUAUACAUAUGAAUAAAAUGUAUAUCAUACAAGGAGUAAAACAAAGAAAUAUUCUUUAUUUGAAGCAGAAAGGAAAUAUUAAUUUUGAUUCAUCAAUGAAUUAAUACACAAAGGGUAUUCAUAUUCAUUUUAUGCUAACAAACAGAGAAAUAAAUUUAAUUAAAUUUAAUUAAAUAAAAGGUAUCGUCUAAUUUUAUACAAGCUAUUUCAUAAAUUAUUUUUCUUCGUUUCUGUCUUUAUAUAGUUAUACACAUAAUUCGUAAUAGAAAUAUCAAGCCAAAUUGUACAACCAUAAUCUAUCUUUUAUCAGCAACGAUAAUUUAUAAAGCAAGAUCGACUGUUUUGUUAUUGUAUUACUGGGUCGAAUGAAAUUGUUAUCAAUUAUUUAUUUCAUAUUAGGCCAUCUUAAAAACAAGUAUCAUGUAUGUUGACCAUGAAUGAGAGACUGCGCAAUGUGUUAAAUAGACAGUUACAAGCAAACGCACGUGAAAAAUGUGUAAUUUUUUCACGUUUUAUCAAGAUUUUAUAAAACAUAAACUUGAGAUGGUGAUCGAAAUUCAAUUUUUUAUUCCGCUACCUUUCCAUAGCGAAAGUUUUAACAUAAGUUGGUUAGUAUAACGAUAAAAUUUUAUUUUUGUUCAUUUUCUAAUUUAAUUUCAUUAUGUAAUUACCGAAAAUUUAAUAAAUGCACAAACAUAUACAGAUACGUUAUCGUUAAUAAACUUUGUUCGAUUUACGUGGAAUUAAUAUACGUGAAUUGCAUCAUGUAUCAUCGAUCAGUAAAUUUUGAAACGCUGAAAAAAUUUGAGGUAUAAUAGAAGAAAUGUAUCAAGAAACUGAAGGUAACGAUAUCGAUGAUAAUGGUAUCGAUAAGACGACAUUUUACAAAAAUAUUUUCUUACAUCACCUAACGUACUACAGAUAAGAUUGUUGAUAAUGUUCUUUGAUAUUUAAUCCAUUUUGUACCUCAAUCUCGAAGUGCAUGUACAACGCAAAGCUAUCGUAUUUCCGAAACAAAAAUGUAGUCUUAAAUUUCCUAGUGUUCCUGUUUUGAAAGUUUCAAAUUAAUGUGGAAAAAUAGCUACAAGCACCAAAUCAUUUUCUAUAUACAUCUAUCAAAAUUAUUCAUUUCUUUGCUUCAUAUUAAAGAUUUUAUUAUUGUUUUUAGAAUCUCAAUAAACGUCAUUCGAACAGACAGAACUGAUAUUUUUGGAUGCAAGUGCAUGUUAUACUAGUGUAAUUGUCAUACAGAGUACGUUCUAAGUGAAUUAAAUUCUCAAAUUAUCAUAAAUUUCGUAAGUAUGUAGACUGACGAAACAUAUUCGUUUAUCUAAUUAAAGUACUAUGAAGUGACUUUUAUUUAUUUCAUCGUGUCUUUACGCUGUUGAUUUUAAUACAGAUAAGUGUUCUUCCUACAGAACAUUGUAACGUAAUGUGGACAGAAGAUUGUGAUUGAGGACAUUCGCUCAUUGACAUUUAGUAUGAAAAUUUACUGUUAACAUUUAUCAUAUCUUGCGCGACAUACAUCCGAAGAAUGAAUUUUCUAUUCCGAACAUUUGGUGUUCUCAAUAUAAAAUAUACUGUUGAAAAAUAUUUCAGAAUAUUAGUACAGAUUGUUCGUACCGACACGUGAAACUUGGCUUCACCUCGAGAAACGAGACAUUCCGACUAGAAUGUGACUUGAUCGCUGGAAAUUCUUCCUGAGGAUCUUAAGACAACGCGCGGCAUUCUCAAAUGGGAGAAAAUCUGCAGAGAGAAGAAAAAUCUGGAAAUUUACAUACAAUGGUUACGGAAAGUAUUUGUACAUCGUUGUCUUCAUUAUAGCAUUUAUUAAUUAAUUGAGUGUAAUUAUAGGUAUCUUUGCAUCA